rnacentral:sRNA from 1 species
CUCCACAGUGGGCCCGGCAUGAGUUUGAGGGACUCUUCCGACGGUCUGCAGAGACCAUCAACCACCACCAACAGGCACACACUUCCCUGGCAGACAUGGAUGAGCCACAGACACUCACCUUACUGAAGCCGGUGCUUGGGGUCCUGAGAGUGCGUCCACAGAACUGGCAAGACUGUGUGGCGUGGGCUCUUGGCCACUGGAAACUCUGCUUCCAUUAUGGCAUCAAACAGCUGCUGAGGCACUUCCCACCUAAUAAAGUGUGUGGCUAGGGGUUGGGACGCUGGGGGCUCAGGGGGACCAGACUGAGCCCAGCAGCUUCUACUUACCUACCUAGGUGCUUGAGGAUGGAACUCCCUUCUGGUCGGGUCCCAAACAGUGUCCCCAGCCCUUGGAGUUUGACACCAACCAAGUGAGUGGGAUUCUCUAGGGAGCUCCAAGAUAGACAUGUGGCCCCUCAGAGCAGAGGGAGGCAUUUCUGCAUUCUGCAGAGAUGCAUAGAUGCCCAGAGAGAGCUAUGCAUGUGCACAUAUGGGUGUCUACAUGUGAGGCAAAGGCAGGCACUCAAACAGAUCCACAAAUGGACAGUGACCCCCACCCCAUGCACCCAUACAUGGGUGCUCACUUGCACCCAUGCCUCUG